GAGUUGGACUCCCAGGCUUGAAUAAAGAGGAGGUAGGUAGCCAUUGACUGAGCAAGCUUUGCUUGCACCAUUUCCCGUGUCUUUUUCUUGGUCAUUGGGGAAAUGCAGGAAGGAAUUACAUGGUGCCAUUCAACACUGGAAGGAAGAGAGGCAGUAUGGCCUAGAGAUGGAGUUCACACCUCACAACCAGGAGGCUGUGAGUUCGAUUCUAGGUAGAGGCAGAUAUUUCUCGGCACAUUGAGAAUAUAUGGGCUGAAUAUAACUCCGCACUGGUGACAGGAAGGGCAUCUGGCCGUUAAACACUGCUAGCUCCUUGCAGUUGGCCAGCCAGCAAGGGAUUAUGGGGUCGUUAAAAGAGGAUGAUUCAAUAUUGAGAGGAGGAGGAGGGAAGGAUGGCUGGAGGAAUCUUCCUGGGUGCCCUUCACAAGCUGUGUGUGUGUGUUUUGUGUUGUGCAUGGGGCACAGUGCUGAAAACGUUAAACUGGAGCAGAACUCGGCAACUUGUGGACUUCAGCUCCCAGAAUUCCUCAGCUAGUCCUGCUGGCUGGGCAAUUCUGGGAGCUGAAGUCCACAAAGUCUUAAAAGUUGCCAAGUUCAGAGACUCCUGAACUGGAGGAGGGGGGUCUGGCAGGGACCGCUCGCCCAGGUACAACAGGGCACCGGUGAGGCUUCCUAGUCGGGUAACCCGGCUCGCGGAGCAGCCCACGAUCGGAGCAAAGGGGCCCCGCGGGGACAAGCCCGCGAUGUCUUUGGGGGGGGUGGCUCUUCCGGGGAGCAACUUCCGGCCAUAAAGACGGCGGCAACGUCGGGGUCGUAAGGGUGGGGGGGGCGGCAGUUCAGCGCGCAUGCGCCCUUCUCCUUCCCCCCCCCUUUCCCCCCUCCACGCCUCAGGUCAACAAAUCUCUUAAGCUUCCCGUGAAGCGGCAGGACCUUCGCUCGGCCCGCGAAAUAUUUUGUUCGCGUGAGGAGAGGGUGUCGAGGGAAGAGGGGGGGAGCGGGAGGGGGAGGGGGGACCGGUCCCAGCUCCCCUCCCACUCGGUGAGGAGCCUGUGCGCAUGCGGGAAGCAGAGGCUGCCAUUGGCGUCUGCGCGGCGUAGCGUUUUCACGCUCCCCCCACCCCACCUCGCGGGCGUCCAUUGGUCCUUCGCCGCGACGGGCCCCGCCUUUUCCUGCCUGUCGCCGCCGGGACUUCCGCUGUUCGAGUUGUUGUGGGGGGGUGGGGUAGAAAGAGCCCUUCGCCACAGCAGCUGCCCCCGCUUUGUGCGCCUCAGCUCGCCCGGGGCCCUCAAGGCGCGAAGCUCGAAACCUCACAUUUUAUACAACCAACUUGUGCGGCCGGGAAGACAGGAUUCAAAAUGUGCCUCCUUAUCCUAUAGCUUAGAAUCCCCCCCCCCAAAAAAAACCCUGAUUUAUUGCAACUGAGAACUCCCAAAUGAUGCGAUCCCUGGGAUCCUUUUUGCCAUUGUGUGACUUUUGCUAAUGGGGGUUUGGGAAAAAGUUGCAUUUGUAGACGCAGGUCAAAGUAAUGGGGAUGGCUUCUUGCUUUCUUUGCAGGUUUAAAUGUUCUUGCCUGCGUUAUGCAGAGGGGGUGGGUGGGUGGGUGGGUGGGUGUUUCUAGCUUCCAAGGCAGGGAAAAAAAUAAUAACACUUUGCAACUUGGCUUUGUGUAGUGGGACUAAACAAUUGCAUUGCAUCGGUUCAGUGUGUCUUGUGCUGUUGCUUCAGAGGGUUUUUGGAAGGGCUGAUAUGUUUGACUUGGUGAAGCACAAACACGGUCUUCUUACCAGCUGCUUGGCACCCGCAGUAAUGCUAAGCAAUGGGAAUACUGUCUGUGUUAGAAACGGAGCUAUUGUAAAGAGAAAUUGGAAAUACAUUUUAAGGUUAUAUUAUGCUUUUUCCUCAGGAUAAACGGGCUCCCUCCUUGAAAGGAAGCUCAAACAGAUUAUUAUUUUUUUCUUUUUUUAAAGAAAUCCAAUCCUGGAAACUUCAUUUAUUUAUUUAUUUAUUUUAAAAAGCCCAUCCUGUUCACAUCGUUUCUUCCACUUAUCAGGAGGAUGGGAAAGCGUCCGCAGCAUACUUAGAACUCUGCUUUCUUUCCCAGAAUUGUAAUCCUUUUUUUAAAAAUCAUUUUUGUAUUGUUCUUUCAUCUCAGUUUAAAAUAGGAGGGGCGUGUUGCCUUUCUUUGUAGCCAGAAAGAAUAGCAUUUUUCCCUUGGAUUCCUUGAGUAUUGUAUUGCACCCAAGUCAUAUGACUCGGCCAUCCUACUCUUUCCCCCUUCUGAUGUUUAUUAAAGGACCCCUUUGGAGUCUGGUCUGGGUAGCAGUGGCGAUGGUGACAGCUGGCAGGGCACUUUGGGGUUGUUUAUAAAACUUGCAGGGCUCCCCUGGUUUAGUUGGAGGGCAGCAAAAUCUGGUUUUUUUGGCUGCUGCUGCUUUGCUUCUGAGCUUCAGGUGAGGGUUGGCCUGUGUCUCUCUGGCAUAUGAGUGCCUCAUGGAGGUGCACCUGUUCUUGGUGUGUGUGUGUCCCUCACCCUUGCGUGGCUGUGUUGUAUCCUCAUCAUGUCCUACCUUGCUAGCAAAGUGUCUGGUUUUUGGAGGCAGUUUCAGCUUAGCUGCCUAAGUUUAAGUAACGGCCCAAAAAGGGUCUUGCUUCUUCUCUGCGACUGUUGUUUUAAUUUUGUUUGUGACUCGACCAGGUGAAAGGGAGCUAAAUUUUGAUUUAAGAUUUUUUGGCUUCUGUUUCCUUGAUAACCUCCUUCACACCAAAUC
rnacentral:lncRNA from 1 species